GAUGAACGCUGGCGGCGUGCCUAAUACAUGCGAGUCGAGCGAACAGACGAGGAGCUUGCUCCUCUGACGUUAGCGGCGGACGGGUGAGUAACACGUGGAUAACCUACCUAUAAGACUGGGAUAACUUCGGGAAACCGGAGCUAAUACCGGAUAACAUGUUGAACCGCAUGGUUCAACAGUGAAAGACGGUCUUGCUGUCGCUUAUAGAUGGAUCCGCGCCGCAUUAGCUAGUUGGUAAGGUAACGGCUUACCAAGGCAACGAUGCGUAGCCGACCUGAGAGGGUGAUCGGCCACACUGGAACUGAGACACGGUCCAGACUCCUACGGGAGGCAGCAGUAGGGAAUCUUCCGCAAUGGGCGAAAGCCUGACGGAGCAACGCCGCGUGAGUGAAGAAGGUCUUCGGAUCGUAAAACUCUGUUAUUAGGGAAGAACAAAUGUGUAAGUAACUAUGCACGUCUUGACGGUACCUAAUCAGAAAGCCACGGCUAACUACGUG
rnacentral:rRNA from 1 species